GGACGCUUAGCCGAAUUGGUUAAGGCAACCAGCUCAUAACUGGUAGAAUACGGGUUCGAGUCCCCUAGCGUCCA
rnacentral:tRNA from 1 species